UGUUCAAACAGUGGGGGGGGGAUCCUUACAGUGAACCUUAUUACAAACGUUUAUGUUCACAUUUCAUGGAGUACAAACUUACACCGCUUUCUAUCCUCUUCAUACAAUAACUGUAGUCUUGGAUUCAAACAGCAGUUGAAAUCCUGUUGCCAGAAACCAUACCACAUAAAGCUGAAGACAUCAACACCCCCCCACCCGAAAUUAAAAAAAUUCCAAUUCCCUGAAGGUCUCAAGACUUGUUAUUGGACAUUGCGGAAUGGGAUUUGUGUGUCAGAUGUUUAUUUCCAAAAAUUGCUACCGCAGACAUGCACGGGUCACUCCUCAACUUUUCUUGGGCUUUGUACAGUACCUUCCGCUUUGUGGAUGAAAUAUGAAGGUUUGCAGACAGACGUUCCUCAACUUUUCUUGGGCUUUGUACAGUAUCUUCCGCUUUGUGGAUAAAAUAUGAAGGUUUGCAAACAGAAGGGUUAACAGUUUAACGUGAAUGAGACAUAAACACAGAGAGGCACUAUUUAUAUUUUUGGGCACUAGACAGGAAAGCAAAAGAAACACAACUACUGUAACACAGCAGAAACAAGAACAUCAAAUCACCAGUGUUAAGGAGCCCUCUUCUUUGAGAUCUAUUUAUUUCCCCAUUGUUCAAAACAAUGCAGCCAUUUUGUAGAGAAGCAUAUAAUCUAUGCAAAACUGAACACACAAUGAGAAUAUGUGGACUGUGCUAGGGAGGAGUCAAUAGCUACUGAAUGGCAGCUAAGUGCUUGGGUAGUCACCACCCACCAGGUAAAGCCAUACAUUUUAAGAUAUAUAUGGCUACAUAACUUACAAUAUGUAAGAAACACAACAAUCUGGCCAACUGCAAUACACGUAUCAAGAACUAUUUAAAACAUAUUGGUUGAGAUCCUGUUAGCAUAAUGAGUAACUGAAUCAGCAAGCCAACUUCUCCACAAGUCCCCAUGAUGCAAAUAGUCCUAUUAUACUUAAAUUUACUACGCUAAAUCAAGUUACAACUAGACUAGGCCCAUUAAAAUCCAUGGAACUUAAGGGGUUGACUCAUCAAACAUUCACUGAUUCAAUAUGACUUGCUCUAGUACAACUUACUACCAAACAACAGAAUUUUAGAUGACAGUAGUGUUCUCCUAGAAAUAUUUUCUACCCAUUGUCCUUUCAAUAAAAGCUGCCACUUGACUCUUCUUUUUUACUUC
rnacentral:lncRNA from 1 species